CAAAUGGAAGAGCAUUCCAUGCUCAUGGGUAGGAAAAAUCAAUAUCGUGAAAAUGGCCAUACUGCCCAAGGUAAUUUACAGAUUCAAUGCCAUCCCCAUCAAGCUACCAAUGCCUUUCUUCACAGAAUUGGAAAAAACUACUUUAAAGUUCAUAUGGAACCAAAAAAGAGCCCAUAUCGCCAAGUCAAUCCUAAGCCAAAAGAACAAAGCUGGAGGCAUCACACUAGCUGACUUCAAACUAUACUACAAGGCUACAGUAACCAAAACAGCAUGGUACUCGUACCAAAACAGAGAUAUAG
rnacentral:lncRNA from 1 species